rnacentral:lncRNA from 1 species
UGGCAACAACUUCAGAGUCUUGCUAGUGGUAUAACUGUUCCUUGGCUGGUUACAGGGGACUUCAAUGCAGUAUUGUCUAUUAAUGAUAUGCAAUCAUGUAACCAGGUUACUCAAGCUGAAAUCCAAGAUUUCACUCAAUGUGUGCAAGUGGCUGAAUUAUCAGAAUUGCCUUGGAAAGGGGCUUUUUUCACAUGGUCUAAUAAGCAAACUGGUUCUGAUAGAGUUUGUAGUAGAUUGGAUAGAAUAUUUGGCAAUUAUGAAUGGAUGACUCAAGCUGAAAUCCAAGAUUUCACUCAAUGUGUGCAAGUGGCUGAACUAUCAUAAUUGCCUUUGAAAGGGGCUUUUUUCACAUGGUCUAAUAAGCAAACUGGUUCUGAUAGAGUUUUUAGUAGAUUGGAUAGAAUAUUUGGUAAUUAUGAAUGGAUGAUUAAGUGGAGUCAUGUACGAACUGUAUAUGAUCCCCCUU